GGAGGGGUACCAAAGUGGUCAAAUGGGGCGGGCUGUAAACCCGUUGACUUCGGUCUUCGAAGGUUCGAAUCCUUCCCCCUCCACCA
rnacentral:tRNA from 2 species